AGCCUAAUACAUGCAAGUCGAGCGAACAGAAAGGGAGCUUGCUCCUUUGACGUUAGCGGCGGACGGGUGAGUAACACGUGGGCAACCUACCUUAUAGUUUGGGAUAACUCCGGGAAACCGGGGCUAAUACCGAAUAAUCUAUUUUACUUCAUGGUGAAAUACUGAAAGACGGUUUCGGCUGUCGCUAUAAGAUGGGCCCGCGGCGCAUUAGCUAGUUGGUGAGGUAACGGCUCACCAAGGCGACGAUGCGUAGCCGACCUGAGAGGGUGAUCGGCCACACUGGGACUGAGACACGGCCCAGACUCCUACGGGAGGCAGCAGUAGGGAAUCUUCCACAAUGGGCGAAAGCCUGAUGGAGCAACGCCGCGUGAGUGAAGAAGGUUUUCGGAUCGUAAAACUCUGUUGUAAGGGAAGAACAAGUACAGUAGUAAACUGGCUGUACCUUGACGGUACCUUAUUAGAAAGCCACGGCUAACUACGUGCCAGCAGCCGCGGUAAUACGUAGGUGGCAAGCGUUGUCCGGACAUUCAUUGGGCGUAAAGCGCGCGCAGGCGGGUCCUUUUAAAGUC
rnacentral:rRNA from 1 species